UAGGGAAUCUUCCACAAUGGACGCAAGUCUGAUGGAGCAACGCCGCGUGAGUGAAGAAGGUUUUCGGACCGUAAAGCUCUGUUGUUGGUGAAGAAGGAUAGAGGUAGUAACUGGCCUUUAUUUGACGGUAAUCAACCAGAAAGUCACGGCUAACUACGUGCCAGCAGCCGCGGUAAUACGUAGGUGGCAAGCGUUGUCCGGAUUUAUUGGGCGUAAAAGCGAGCGCAGGCGGAAGAAUAAGUCUGAU
rnacentral:rRNA from 1 species